rnacentral:rRNA from 1 species
AAUGAACGCUGGCGGCAUGCCUUACACAUGCAAGUCGAACGGCAGCAUGACCUAGCUUGCUAGGUUGAUGGCGAGUGGCGAACGGGUGAGUAAUGCAUCGGAACGUGCCUUUUAGUGGGGGAUAACGUAGCGAAAGUUACGCUAAUACCGCAUAUUCUCUGAGGAGGAAAGCAGGGGACCUUCGGGCCUUGCGCUAGAAGAGCGGCCGAUGUCGGAUUAGCUAGUUGGUGAGGUAAAGGCUCACCAAGGCAACGAUCCGUAGCGGGUCUGAGAGGAUGAUCCUCCACACUGGGACUGAGACACGGCCCAGACUCCUACGGGAGGCAGCAGUGGGGAAUUUUGGACAAUGGGCGCAAGCCUGAUCCAGCCAUGCCGCGUGAGUGAAGAAGGCCUUCGGGUUGUAAAGCUCUUUCGGCUGGGAAGAAAUCGCACCCUCUAAUACAGGGUGUGGAUGACGGUACCAGCAUAAGAAGCACCGGCUAACUACGUG